rnacentral:rRNA from 1 species
GCGGAGCAUGUGGAUUAAUUCGAUGCAACGCGAAGAACCUUACCUGGGUUUGACAUACACCAGACGCCGGCAGAGAUGUCGGUUCCCUUGUGGCUGGUGUACAGGUGGUGCAUGGCUGUCGUCAGCUCGUGUCGUGAGAUGUUGGGUUAAGUCCCGCAACGAGCGCAACCCUUGUCCUGUAUUGCCAGCGGGUUAUGCCGGGGACUUGCAGGAGACUGCCGGGGUCAACUCGGAGGA